rnacentral:rRNA from 1 species
CCUAACACAUGCAAGUCGAACGGUAACAGGAAACAGCUUGCUGUUUCGCUGACGAGUGGCGGACGGGUGAGUAAUGUCUGGGAAACUGCCUGAUGGAGGGGGAUAACUACUGGAAACGGUAGCUAAUAUCGCAUAACGUCGCAAGACCAAAGAGGGGGACCCUCGGGCCUCUUGCCAUCGGAUGUGCCCAGAUGGGAUUAGCCUGUUGGUGGGGUAACGGCUCACCAAGGCGACGAUCCCUAGCUGGUCUGAGAGGAUGACCAGCCACACUGGAACUGAGACACGGUCCAGACUCCUACGGGAGGCAGCAGUGGGGAAUAUUGCACAAUGGGCGCAAGCCUGAUGCAGCCAUGCCGCGUGUAUGAAGAAGGCC